rnacentral:rRNA from 1 species
GACGAACGCUGGCGGCGUGCUUAACACAUGCAAGUCGAACGGCAACGCCCUGCUUUUGUGGGGUGCUCGAGUGCCGAACGGGUGCGUAACACGUGAAUAACCUGCCCUUGACUUUGGGAUAACUUCAGGAAACUGGGGCUAAUCCCGGAUAGGAGCCCCUGCUGCAUGGUGGGGGUUGGAACGUUUGGGCGGGUGGGGAUGGACUCGCGGCUUAUCAGUUUGUUGGUGGGGUAGUGGCUUACCAAGGCUUUGACGGGUAGCCGGCCUGAGAGGGUGAACGGCCACAUGGGGACUGAGAUACGGCGCAGAGUCAUACAGGAGGCAGCAGUGGGGAAUAUUGCACAAUGGGCGGAAGCCGGAUGCAGAAACGCCGCGUGCGGGAUGACGGUCUUCGGGUUAAAAACCGCUUUCGCCUGUGACGAAGCGUGAGUGACGGUAAUGGGUAAAGAAGCACCGGCUAACUUAGUG